UGGGAAUGGUGGGAAUGUGGGAAUGGUGGGAUUGGGAAUGGUGGGAAUAAUGGGAUUGGGAAUAAUGGGAUUGGGAAUAAUGGGAUUGGGAAUAAUGGGAUCAGGAAUAAUGGGAUUGGGAAUAAUGGGAUUUCACGGUCCAGGAGGAGCCGGACCAGGGGAGGGAAUCACCGAUGCAGCUCUGGGAAUGGGAUUGGGAAUGGGAUUGGUGGGAUUGGGUUUGGUGGGAAUUAUGGGAAUGAUGGGAAUGAGAAUAAUGGGAAUGGGAAUAAUGGGAUUUUAUGGUCUAGCAGGAGACGGACCAGGGGCAGGGAAUCUUCAAUGCAGAGCUUGGAAUGGGAUUGGGAAUGGUGAGAUUGGGAUUGGGAACAAUGGGAUUGGGAACAAUGGGAUUGGGAACAAUGGGAUUGGGAUUGGGACUGGGGUGGGAUUCAGGGUGCUGGGAUGUUGGGGGUUUAUGGGAUGGGAAGGAUGUGGAAAACGGGACGCCGGGAUUUGGGAUCAGCGGGGGAGAGCGGAAGGGAAGGAUCUGGAGCUGGGACGGGAAAGAUUUGGGGUUACCGGGAUCAGGAAAGGAUUUGGGAUCACCAGAAAUGGGAUGUGGAAAAAACAUGGAUCUGGGAU
rnacentral:lncRNA from 1 species